CUCUGUGAAAUUAAAGCUCAAUUAGUGGGUUAUAUAAACCAAAGAACUAAGUCGCUUCUCUUCUUCGCAGACGCAAAUCUCAGUUGAUUUUGAAGGUAUAAGCGAAUUAUCAAGUUUUGGUUGCUUUCUGAAGUUGAAAAAUAAAUCUCCGUGGGAUUUCUAGAUGGGACUGUCACUUUUACCAGGCUCGAGUCAGUUUUGAUUUCCCAUUCAUAAGUUCAGGGAUGUAAGUGUUAAUGAUCGAUGGCAGUUAAAUGAUGUUGUAAAGAACUCUUCAUGCACGCUUAAUCAACCCAAUGUUUAGGGACCAACCAUUCCUCGGUGGGAUGGAGUUGGUUAGCACGGUGUAUGGCAGCACGACCAUGGACUCGGGGACUCCGGAAUCAUUAGCACUGAUAAAGAACUAAUUGAACAGUCAUUAACAAAAAUAAAGGAAACGCAAAGCAGUCCUCUUUCUCUUCUCAUGGCAGCUUUAUGAUCCGCAAAAGAAAAAAGGAAAAAAAACACGAUUUUAUGCCGCAAAGAGUUCAACAAGUGAUUCUUUUUUUUUUUG